CAUGUCUAAGUAUAAGCAAUUAUACAGCGAAACUGCGAAUGGCUCAUUAUAUAAGUUAUCGUUUAUUUGAUAGUACCUUACUACUUGGAUAACCGUGGUAAUUCUAGAGCUAAUACAUGCUAAAAAUCCCGACUUCGGAAGGGAUGUAUUUAUUAGAUUAAAAACCAAUGCCCUCUGGGCUCCUUGGUGAUUCAUAAUAACUUUUCGAAUCGCAUGGCCUUGCGCCGGCGAUGGUUCAUUCAAAUUUCUUCCCUAUCAACUUUCGAUGUUUGGGUAUUGGCCAAACAUGGUCGCAACGGGUAACGGAGGGUUAGGGCUCGACCCCGGAGAAGGAGCCUGAGAAACGGCUACUACAUCCAAGGAAGGCAGCAGGCGCGCAAAUUACCCAAUCCCGAUUCGGGGAGGUAGUGACAAUAAAUACUGAUACAGGGCUCUUUUGGGUCUUGUAAUUGGAAUGAGUACAAUUUAAAUCCCUUAACGAGGAACAAUUGGAGGGCAAGUCUGGUGCCAGCAGCCGCGGUAAUUCCAGCUCCAAUAGCGUAUAUUAAAGUUGUUGUGGUUAAAAAGCUCGUAGUUGAACCUUGGGCCUGGCUGGCCGGUCCGCCUCACCGCGUGUACUGGUCCGGCCGGGCCUUUCCCUCUGUGGAACCUCAUGCCCUUCACUGGGUGUGGCGGGGAAACAGGACUUUUACUUUGAAAAAAUUAGAGUGCUCCAGGCAGGCCUAUGCUCGAAUACAUUAGCAUGGAAUAAUGAAAUAGGACGUGUGGUUCUAUUUUGUUGGUUUCUAGGACCGCCGUAAUGAUUAAUAGGGACAGUCGGGGGCAUCAGUAUUCAAUUGUCAGAGGUGAAAUUCUUGGAUUUAUUGAAGACUAACUACUGCGAAAGCAUUUGCCAAGGAUGUUUUCAUUAAUCAGGAACGAAAGUUAGGGGAUCGAAGACGAUCAGAUACCGUCGUAGUCUUAACCAUAAACUAUGCCGACUAGGGAUCGGACGAUGUUAUUUUUUGACGCGUUCGGCACCUUACGAGAAAUCAAAGUGCUUGGGCUCCAGGGGGAG
rnacentral:rRNA from 4 species